AGAGAGAGUCAAACAGUACGUGAAACCGUCAGGAGGGAAACGAACGAGGUUGGUGCAGUGAUCGUGCAGGUUCAAGUGCCACCGAAGAUGCCGGCACGGCGAUGUAGAUCCUCACGUGCCGUCCACCAGAGGCAGCACCGUACUCCUCGCGAGCACAGACCAGCAGCGGUCGGACAGGAGCCACAAGGCAGCAGUGGAAGGUGAGUCGAUGUCGGCAUGUCCCACAUUGACAGCUUAUAGCCCUGCUGUCUGGUGCCCCAGCCUGACCGAGGAAUCAGGGUAGUCCUUGCCCGUUUUGGUGCACGCCAUAUGGCGGGGCCUCCCGAUGGGAGUGAACCGUGCAGUGUGGACUGCGUGCAGUGUUCACCGCAGCGGCGAUCCCCUGUGGGUGAGUGCCACCUGUGUGCCAGUGCUGCUGGCAUUUAGACGGCCUCGUCCGACCCGUCUUGAAACACGG
rnacentral:misc_RNA from 1 species